UACGAAGGGGGCUAGCGUUGCUCGGAAUCACUGGGCGUAAAGCGCACGUAGGCGGAUUGUUAAGUCGGGGGUGAAAUCCUGGAGCUCAACUCCAGAACUGCCUUCGAUACUGGCGAUCUUGAGUCCGGGAGAGGUGAGUGGAACUCCAAGUGUAGAGGUGAAAUUCGUAGAUAUUCGGAAGAACACCAGUGGCGAAGGCGGCUCACUGGCCCGGUACUGACGCUGAGGUGCGAAAGCGUGGGGAGCAAACAGG
rnacentral:rRNA from 1 species